rnacentral:rRNA from 1 species
CUUUGGAGGAUUUUUCUUCCAUUGUUGUUUGAGAAGACUCCCAAACUUGAGCGUUUAGAGGAAGUAAAAGUCGUAACAAGGUUUCCGUAGUGAACCUGCGGAAGGAUCAUUAC